rnacentral:rRNA from 1 species
UACGGAGGAUGCGAGCGUUAUCCGGAUUUAUUGGGUUUAAAGGGUGCGUAGGCGGACUGUCAAGUCAGCGGUAAAAUUGAGAGGCUCAACCUCUUCCCGCCGUUGAAACUGGUGGUCUUGAGUGGAUGAGAAGUACGCGGAAUGCGUGGUGUAGCGGUGAAAUGCAUAGAUAUCACGCAGAACUCCGAUUGCGAAGGCAGCGUACCGGCAUCCAACUGACGCUGAGGCACGAAAGUGUGGGGAUCAAACAGG